AGUCGAACGGUAGCACAGGGGAGCUUGCUCCUCGGGUGACGAGUGGCGGACGGGUGAGUAAUGUCUGGGGAUCUGCCCGAUGGAGGGGGAUAACCACUGGAAACGGUGGCUAAUACCGCAUAACGUCGCGAGACCAAAGUGGGGGACCUUCGGGCCUCACACCAUCGGAUGAACCCAGAUGGGAUUAGCUAGUAGGUGGGGUAACGGCUCACCUAGGCGACGAUCCCUAGCUGGUCUGAGAGGAUGACCAGCCACACUGGAACUGAGACACGGUCCAGACUCCUACGGGAGGCAGCAGUGGGGAAUAUUGCACAAUGGGCGCAAGCCUGAUGCAGCCAUGCCGCGUGUAUGAAGAAGGCCUUCGGGUUGUAAAGUACUUUCAGCGGGGAGGAAGGGGACGAGGUUAAUAACCUCGUUCAUUGACGUUACCCGCAGAAGAAGCACCGGCUAACUCCGUGCCAGCAGCCGCGGUAAUACGGAGGGUGCAAGCGUUAAUCGGAAUUACUGGGCGUAAAGCGCACGCAGGCGGUCUGUUAAGUCAGAUGUGAAAUCCCCGGGCUUAACCUGGGAACUGCAUUUGAAACUGGCAGGCUUGAGUCUUGUAGAGGGGGGUAGAAUUCCAGGUGUAGCGGUGAAAUGCGUAGAGAUCUGGAGGAAUACCGGUGGCGAAGGCGGCCCCCUGGACAAAGACUGACGCUCAGGUGCGAAAGCGUGGUGAGCAAACAGGAUUAGAUACCCUGGUAGUCCACGCCGUAAACGAUGUCGACUUGGAGGCUGUGAGCAUGACUCGUGGCUUCCGGAGCUAACGCGUUAAGUCGACCGCCUGGGGAGUACGGCCGCAAGGUUAAAACUCAAAUGAAUUGAC
rnacentral:rRNA from 1 species